rnacentral:rRNA from 1 species
AGGGCGAACGCUGGCGGCGUGCGUUAAACAUGCAAGUCGAGCGGCCAUUUCGGUGGCAGCGGCGGACGGCUGAGUAGCACGUAAUUGACCUGCCCCGAAGUGGGGGAUAGCGGUGGGAAACUGCCGGUAAUCCCGCAUGUGGUUCAUUGCUUGAGGGUGAUGAAAGAAAGCCUUAGGGCGCUUUGGGAGGGGAUUGCGGCCCAUCAGGUAGUUGGUGUGGUAAUGGUGCACCAAGCCGAAGACGGGUGGCCGGGCUGAGAGGCUGGACGGCCAGACGGGGACUGGGAACGGCCCCGACGCCUACGGGCGGCAGCAGUUAGGGAUCUUGCGCAAUGGGCGGAAGCCUGACGCAGCGACGCCGCGUGGGGGAAGACGGCAUUCGUGUUGUAAACCCCUUUUCACAGGGACGAGGACGGACGGUACCUGUGGAAGAAGCGACCGGCUAACCCGUGCCAGCAGCCGC